rnacentral:rRNA from 1 species
UACGUAGGGUGCAAGCGUUAAUCGGAAUUACUGGGCGUAAAGAGUGCGUAGGCGGAAAUGUAAGUUAGAUGUGAAAUACCCGAGCUUAACUUGGGAACUGCAUUUAAGACUGCAUAUCUAGAGUUUGUCAGAGGGGGGGGGUAGAAUUCCAAGUGUAGCAGUGAAUGCGUAGAGAUUUGGAGAAUACGAUGGCGAAGGCAGCCCCUGGAUAGAACUGACGCUGAGGCACGAAGCGUGGUAGCAACAGG